rnacentral:rRNA from 1 species
UACGUAGGGUGCAAGCGUUGUCCGGAAUUAUUGGGCGUAAAGAGCUCGUAGGCGGUCUGUUGCGUCGGCUGUGAAAACCCGGGGCUCAACUCCGGGCCUGCAGCCGAUACGGGCAGACUAGAGUUCGGCAGGGGAGACUGGAAUUCCUGGUGUAGCGGUGAAAUGCGCAGAUAUCAGGAGGAACACCGGUGGCGAAGGCGGUCUGCUGGGCAGUUGCUGACGCUGAUGCGCGACAGCGUGGGGAGCAAACAGG